UACGAAGGGGGCUAGCGUUGCUCGGAAUCACUGGGCGUAAAGCGCACGUAGGCGGCUUUCUAAGUCAGGGGUGAAAUCCUGGAGCUCAACUCCAGAACUGCCUUUGAUACUGGGGAGCUCGAGUCCGGAAGAGGUGAGUGGAACUCCGAGUGUAGAGGUGAAAUUCGUAGAUAUUCGGAAGAACACCAGUGGCGAAGGCGGCUCUCUGGAACGCAACUGACGCUGAGACGCGAAAGCGUGGGGAGCAAACAGG
rnacentral:rRNA from 1 species